rnacentral:lncRNA from 1 species
AUGAGGGGUCCAGGGCGGAGAGACCCGGGGGAUGGGCAGGUGCAACUUGGGGAGCUCUGGGCAAAGCCUCCUUCUCUGCCCCACCCCCCUCUCCCACUCCCCCGCAGGCUAAGCUGGUGGCGUCAUGGGGGCGCUGGUUCUAGCCCUGUGGGCUCUGCUGGUGUCUUUGGACCCUGCUGGCGGAGCCAGAGAGCCAGGACUACAGGUGAAGACCCUGCUCAGCAAGCGCUGUGCCCCCAGGUGCCCCAACACCAACAUAGAGUUCAAAUGGCCGUCGAACUCGGGGGUGCCCAGCAAGAUCGUCCGGCACUGCUGCUCCAAAUCUCUCUGCAACAGGGCCCCCGCCCCGCAGGAGGGCCCCAGGGCCCUCUCACGGGGGCUCCUGCUUCGGGUGAGCCUCGGCCUCCUCUGGGUCCUGCUGUGAGCACCUUCCCUCGGCCCAAAGCGCACCCUGCCCCCGUCGCUCUCGAGACCCUGGGUGGCACAUGCCCCUGAGGUGGUCGGAGGUGCCAUCACCUCGCCGUGGGCCUGGCCACCUCUCCUGUCCCCAGCAGGGGCCCUUCACUCACACAGCCUGGGAUUGUAGCCCCCUGCUGUGUUGGGGAAUGCACAUUUCUCAGCUUGGAGUAACAGCCCCUGCCCUGAAUGGAUGGUCCAGGCCCCGGUGUUGUGGGAGAAGAGGUGGGGAAAGCCAGAGGCUGGCUCUGGCUCUGGCUCUGACCCGCUCUGCAUUCUCCAUGCCCACCAUCCUGGCCACCUCUGUCCCUGGCUUAGGCAGAGUCCUGCAGGGGGACCGUGACCGUCACUCCUUCCAGAGACAAUAAAGUCACUGCUUG